GACGAACGCUGGCGGCGUGCUUAACACAUGCAAGUCGAACGGAAAGGCCCUGCUUGCAGGGUACUCGAGUGGCGAACGGGUGAGUAACACGUGGGUGAUCUGCCCUGCACUUCGGGAUAAGCUGGGGAAACUGGGCCUAAUACCGGAUAGGAGCCAUCUUUAGUGUGGUGGUUGGAAAGUUUUUUCGGUGUAGGAUGAGCUCGCGGCCUAUCAGCUUGUUGGUGGGGUAAUGGCCUACAAAGGCGGCGACGGGUAGCCGGCCUGAGAGGGUGUACGGCCACAUUGGGACUGAGAUACGGCCCAGACUCCUACGGGAGGCAGCAGUGGGGAAUAUUGCACAAUGGGCGCAAGCCUGAUGCAGCGACGCCGCGUGGGGGAUGAAGGCCUUCGGGUUGUAAACUCCUUUCGCUAGGGACGAAGCUUUUUUGUGACGGUACCUAGAUAAGAAGCACCGGCUAACUACGUG
rnacentral:rRNA from 1 species